CUCGCUUUUGGCAUAGCGGGCCCCCAGUGGGAGGCUCUCUCUCCCAAUUGGUUGGACCGUAGGUGCGAUGAU
rnacentral:tRNA from 1 species